UGCAAGUCGAGCGGUAGCACGGGAGAGCUUGCUCUCUGGGUGACGAGCGGCGGACGGGUGAGUAAUGUCUGGGAAACUGCCUGAUGGAGGGGGAUAACUACUGGAAACGGUAGCUAAUACCGCAUGAUGUCGCAAGACCAAAGUGGGGGACCUUCGGGCCUCACGCCAUCGGAUGUGCCCAGAUGGGAUUAGCUAGUAGGUGGGGUAAUGGCUCACCUAGGCGACGAUCCCUAGCUGGUCUGAGAGGAUGACCAGCCACACUGGAACUGAGACACGGUCCAGACUCCUACGGGAGGCAGCAGUGGGGAAUAUUGCACAAUGGGCGCAAGCCUGAUGCAGCCAUGCCGCGUGUGUGAAGAAGGCCUUAGGGUUGUAAAGCACUUUCAGCGAGGAGGAAGGCGUUGUAGUUAAUAGCUGCAACGAUUGACGUUACUCGCAGAAGAAGCACCGGCUAACUCCGUGCCAGCAGCCGCGGUAAUACGGAAGGUGCAAGCGUUAAUCAGAAUUACUGGGCGUAAAGCGCACGCAGGCGGUUUGUUAAGUCAGAUGUGAAAUCCCCGAGCUUAACUUGGGAACUGCAUUUGAAACUGGCAAGCUAGAGUCUUGUAGAGGGGGGUAGAAUUCCAGGUGUAGCGGUGAAAUGCGUAGAGAUCUGGAGGAAUACCGGUGGCGAAGGCGGCCCCCUGGACAAAGACUGACGCUCAGGUGCGAAAGCGUGGGGAGCAAACAGGAUUAGAUACCCUGGUAGUCCACGCUGUAAACGAUGUCGACUUGGAGGUUGUGCCCUUGAGGCGUGGCUUCCGGAGCUAACGCGUUAAGUCGACCGCCUGGGGA
rnacentral:rRNA from 1 species